GUUUAUCUGCGGCUAAUGACGCUCUUGAACUAACCUAGUCGGGUCAACGCAAGGUCGUGGUAUUUAAAUUAAACUGAGUUGCGCGCUUAUUUUUAUUUAAAAUAUUAAAAAAAUGUGAGGCGCAAUAAUUAUUAUCAGCGUAAUCACUCAUGAAUUAAUGACAAAAUAUAUCUCAAUGUGACCCUUCGCUCACGUUGACAUAGAGAUGCUAAGCUAAUCACCUAGCUGCCCAUACAGGUGCUGCUUUUUAGCCACUGCCCAACAUCUUUGUCGCACGCUGGUUGGCCUCGUCGAUUCGGGUCUUGUUGGAGUCGGCCUGCAAGGGCGAAGCAACACGAAAAGCCUCGAUGUGUAGGGGAAGCUGAGUUGCUCCUAUGGGUGGUCCUCUCUUGUUUUGGUACUUUUUUUUUUUGUUUAAUCCAUGUUUAAUUUACAACUUGGGAGUUAGUGUCAGCUUUGCCUUAAAC